CCAGCCCUGUAGGAAAAAUGAAGCUGGGGAAUAAAGGACCACAAGACGCCCCCCCCCCCAAGGGGGAGCAGUAGGCCCCAUGGGCACACUUCCUGCAUCCAGGAUCCUCCCAAGAACUCUAUGACCUGUUACCAUUCUACAGGUGAGGAGACUGAGGCUCUGGUAGGUGACGUCACCCACCCAAGGUCGCACAGCUUGUGAGCUGUAGGGACACCAUGCUCCUCUCCCUGGUGCUCAGCCGACCCUGUCCCUAGAGGAGGGAGGUGAGCUCUUGCAGCAGGGCUGGGGAGGGACGUGCAUCGCGUGCAGCCCUUGGAGUCAAGCAAACCUGGAUUCCCAUCUUGGCUCUGCCAUUUGGAAGCUCUGUGUCCUUAGGCAAGUGCCAUCGCCCCUCAGAGCCUCAGAUAUCGUAUUGGUUAAGUGGGGAUGGUCUUCUUACUUAAUUCAUAGGGUGAAAAUGAAAUGGGUGACUCCGUGUGAGCGUCCUAUUAAAUAAACCACCGGAUAAAUGCUGCUGGUUGUUGAUCCUGUGAUUGUUUUAGGAAAACCUCCGGUUCAGGGAGAGCUAUGCCUUCCUGUCCUCAGGGACACCCUCUAUGAUUGUUUCUGAUGGCCUUGGGGCGCGGUUGGCUGGCACCAUUCUUCCAAGGACUCUGGAAAAACCCCAGCUUGCUCCUUCACCUCCGGUUGCUAUGACAACAGGGACUGGCAAGGAGGUGGACUGGGGGUGGGUAGUUUUCCUUGGGGCCAGUUCCAGGUGUCUCUGGGUUCUCUGGCCUGCUCAGCAUUUUUCUGGUCCCCGAACCCUCCUGGUUCUGGCUUGGGGGGCUCCAUUUGCCUCUUCCCCUUCACCUCAAAUUCUGUCCCUCUCCUCUGCCUCCUGACCUGAUUCUAGCCCACUUAGGAACACCCAGUAAGUUUCCUGCACAGGCAUGGAGACUUCAAAGCCCCGCAGAGAGAGAGAGAGAGAGCCGGUGGGGGGGGGGGAUGCUGUGAAGUCACCCCCCUGGGUCUCCAUCCCGGGCUCUGUCUAAGGAGGAUGAUCCAACACCGACCCUCUGGGCUAUGGCGAGGAUGCCCUAUGACGCCCCCUGGCACAGCACUGAGUGACAGUGGCUGCCACCGUUAUUCCUCCUCACCUCUCCUUUUUCCUUCUGUGGGGACCAUGCCAGUUUUCCAAGUCGGGUCGCUUGGCUGAGUCCGAUUCCUUUCUGGUUCUGAAUCCUUCCCCUGCUCCCUGAGGCCUGGUGACAAUCCUCAGCCACCUCUUCCUGCGGCUGCCUCUUCCCCUUUGCGGUCUUUCCUGCUUCCUGCCAGCCUUGUCCCUAACCGCUCUCUCCCCAGGAAUCCCGUGGCAGGUCCCUGCAUCCCCCUAAAGCCUCCUCUUCCCCCUACCCGCCAGCCGCAGUUGACUGAGCUCUGGAACAGGUAGACUGUAAAACCCAACUGGACGCAGCCGCACCAGAUGGUGUAUUUGAUCAGAAUUUGCAGAAGGGGUCUCCAGUCAGUCGGUUUUUCUCUACUGAAGCCCAUCGGGUCAAGUUCAGCCUCUGCACACUGUUGGCCAGCAGCCCCGUGGCCGAGGGCCCCUCCCUGCAGAGGUUGGUGCAAGUGAGAACAUGGGUGGUCCGAGCCCUCCCGUCACUCAUUCAUCUUCUAGAGACCCAUUGUGCAGAUGGAGCCUCUGAGGCUUGGAGGACCUGCUGAGGACAGAACUGAUUUGGAAGAAACCGGCCUUUUGUCUCUGGCCAGGCUUGCCCCGUUGGGAAUCGGGAACUAAAUUUGAUUUCAGGUGUCAAUUUCACCUGCCAUGCAAGAUUACAUUCCAUCAGGACCCACUGGGACAGACCCAGAGCAGGAGGAGGUGGCAGAGGAACAAGAAGGGGAUCUUCUUCUCUGAUAAUGAAAAAUCAAUUCGGUUGUAGAACCAGAACUGUCUCAACAUAACCGUGAGGAGGGGAGACCAAUGGGAAAUGCCAACGCAGAUGAUGACGAUGAUGUUGAUGAUGCUGGUGACAAUUAUUACUUUCUUUCCUGUGGCCAGGUGCUGUCCAGCCCAGGGACAUUCAUCAAGUGGCAUUUGGCUCUGAGAUUCUGGCUUCAUCUCUCACCUGCAGAGCAGCUAAUGAUGAGAGCUACCAUUUAUGGAAUGCCUUUUUCAAUGCCAGCUUUGGACACGGUCUCUAAAUAACCUGUAUCUGGAAAGGGCAGGACUUGGGCGAUACUGUCCAUGAAGCUACUUUUGUCCCCGCUCCCGAUUGUGCAGUCAUGGGAUGCCGAAUGAUUGUCGGACAGAAUCUUUCGAUCAUCUUCUUGUUUGUAGGUAGAAAAAAAUGUCUUGGGCACCUGUGACCUUGCAAUCCACUUUAGCUCAGUGAUCAAUAUGUCCAAGACAGUGGUCAGACUUCUGCUGCUCAGAGUUGUCGUGGGCAGAAGCCGCAGUGGGAAAUGGGCACGGUCAGCUUCUUGCAUCAUUUCCCCCAAAGUAAGGGGUGAUGCUGCUGCCCAACCAGCCAGGCGCCCUACCCCUGGGCCUUGUGGGAAGUGAUGGGGCAAAGUCCUCAUUUCCCUGGAACUGCUGUGGGCGGGACUCUGCAGACGGCCACUCUCUCUGGAAGAGUGUGUGUGGACUUUGGAACGUGGUCUCUGCUGGCUCACAAGUCAGACUCCAGCCCAUAGGGUUCUCCUCUCUUUGGGGGACACAAACCGAGAUUUUUGAGUACCUCCCUGGACUUCAGGGAGGAGAACACACCCACUUUCUCCCCCAAGGGGCCGGGGAGAGGAAAUGAGGGUGUUGCAACGCUCCAAUGACUAUCAAAAGAAGUCCUCCUUCCAUUUCUCUGCUUGGUCCACACUUCACCUUGAACCCUCUACUGCCCUGGAAUUAGAUGAAAGGCGCAGGCUGAGGUUAAGGCCAAGAGGAAACGAGUCCUGUCAAGAGUCUUGCAUUUCACUUUAAAACGUUGGAAGAUCCUGGCACUCAGUGUUUUGUUCUUGGCCCAAACUGGGACAUCAUGUCUCAUUGUUAACUCUGACAGUAAAAGUGGUCAGCUUCCCUCGGGGCUCACCCAUCAGUGCCAAAAGGCUAAUCUCCGUUGCCAGGAUGGAUGUCCGUGUGCCUGGGGUUUCUUUGAAGGUGAGGAAGGCCAGUCUUCCGCAGGCUGACCAGAAAUACCAAGUGGUCAGCACCUGCCCGAACAGCCCUCAGCCAAGGACUUAUGGGAACAGGCACUUAAAAUGCCCGGAUCCUCACUCCUGAAUUGGGGUAAGGCAGAGGCGUGGGUUCUGCGUGGUUUCCCGGGAUUUCCAUGGGGAUAUUUCUAGUGGAAAUAACUGCAGUAACUGGCUUGGUGAGCAGUUUGGUUUUGGUUUCUUUCUCUUUCUUGCUUUAUUUGCCCACUUCUCUUCCAUGACACCCCAAACUGACUGCUUGCCCCUCAGAUCCGUGUCUGCAGGUCCCUUAUUGGUGGAACCCAGAUGAAGACAAAGCCAGACUGACUCAGUCACCUCGAGUCCUGGGUACAACCCCCAUCUCAACGUGGACAGGUGUCCUGUGCUCUCUAUGAGGAAGCAGAGGAAAGAUCCUACGGAUGAAGGGCUUUGACCGUCAAUCACGAUGGGACUGGGAUUCAGCCUGGGAUCCUGUCACUCCCCGACACUGCUCUCUCUUGCAUACCACUCUUCGCCCCAGCUGCUGUCAGUCAUUUUCUCCAGCCAAUAAGGCAUGAUCCUCCAAGUGGCCACUUCUCACCCCAAAGGACACUUACUGCACCCGCUCUUGAUGCUCAUGACCUGGGUUCUGAAGCAUCUGCUGAGGGCUCUUCUUCACUCCCAGCUCCUAGCCCCAGUUAUCUCCCUGGAUUCCGUGCUGGAUAUAGCAUAUCUUCCUGGCCAUUGGCUUUGGCCAGUUCCAUUGGCCUGGACUUGUCUGAACUCUAGGAUUCCUGGUCUGGAUACCAUCCAGUUAAGGAUUGGUCAAUAUCAUGGUUCUCCUUUGUAAAUUUUCUUUCCUCGAUUCCCUAACCAUCCACGUCCUCAGCUAGAGGGACACGAAUUUGUAACCACGGGUCAAAAUUUAGAAGCACAUCCGGGAGCUUGUGUGCACCCGGCCGAGUGAGCCCGAGUCCCCAUCAGGAGAGCCUGGACACGCUGCUGGGAUUUGACCGAGAAGAAUUUCAUUGUUCCCAGGCUCCUCGCAUCACCUAAUUUCCUCUAACGAGGGCCCACAAAGCAACCAGGAGAGGUGCGGGAUUGGAUGGCAAUUCACUCCCUGGUGAUGGCAGAUGAAUUGCCGGGCCUGCUCGGUGGCACUGUGGUGGCCGAUGUCUGGGAGGCGGUCUCGGUGGAUGCUGAUUCAAUUAUGCAGAAACACAGAAGGAAAUUGUCAGCCCAGUUGCGGCCCCGCUGCCAAACUGCACCUAGCCGCCGUCCCCAGUGCUGUUUCUCGCUGAUUCAGCAGCAUGUGGCUCUUCCAGAAUGACCGGGGGCUCUGUUCUACUCGGUGUGGCCACUUGUCUCUGCAGGCAAAUGUCCCAUCAGAGACCUCCAAAUACAGAGGUCUCUUCAUCUCCAGAAACACCUUUGGCUAUUUAUUUUUCUUCUGCAUCCAUGCAAAUAAAAAUUUAAAAGAAAAUGACAAGACUCCAACAAUGAAUCUUGGCUGAGUACUGACUGUGCGCUAAGUACUCUCCGGGGCAAUGAGAAUAAUCACUGAACCCAACAGGCCCAAGUGCAUGCCUUUAGGAGUUUAGAGUCCUGCUCCAUCUUCUGACGGGUAAGAUGCUUAGCUCGGUCUCCAGACUUUCAUUGUUUUCUGGAAUCUGGAUACUAGGGAAGUGCAAAUUCAAGAGACAGAGGGGCCCAAGUGAUGAAUAGAAGAGAGACCUUUGUCAGAACAGAGAAUUCAGGGCCGAGACCCUGGCUGCAUUUGGAGAUUUUAGGAAGCUUACAAAAUAAAGACGGGGCAUUUUAGCAGAGCGGGUGGUGGGGGUACACAACAGGAAGAAGGGAGUAAAUGUCAAGUUUUGCUGUAUUUCAUGAAACAAAUACUUCUGUUCUCCGUGAUUUAUUUUGAGACAUCAAUAGGUAUAAUUUUAACAUUGCUUUUUUUAAAAAAAAAAUCCAAUGAACAAUCAUUUAUUGAGCACCUAUUAUGUUCCCGGUAUUAGGCAGAUGCAGUCUUUGCCUAAUUCAUCAUAUUGUUCUAAGGGAAAGAUUCAUUGGACAGGUGACAGGUACACGUGGGAGGGAGAUAGAACUUCAUGCAGAAAGACAGAGAAAGCCUCAGCGAGCUGAUGAGAUUUAUGUGGGGCCUGACGGAUCAGGAGCUUGUCAGGCAGAGGGAGGGGGCGGAAUGCAAGGAUAGUUUCAGAGAGAAGUCAUGGGUCUUGAAGAGGCUUAAUGACGUGAAAGAAUGCAGUUGACCUGGCCAUCAGGGCCCCAUCCAAGAAAAUAGUGCCAGGAACUCCCUUACCGGAUUCUUCUCUGCACCUAGUUCCCAGUAAAAUCGAACAUUGUCAGGCGAGUUCCUACAACGUGGGCAUGAAUCUGUCCCACCUCGACGUCUGCUGCCGCCUCUGCCGUUGCUGCUAUUGUCAAGGAGACGAAAGUGGUGGUGGUGGCUGGGCGUGUUUUUCUGCUUUUAGUUGCUAUGACAAAAUACCUGGAGAUGAACAACUUAAAAGGAAGAAAGGUUGGCUUGGGCUCAAGUCAAUUGUAGACUGAGGUUUCAGUCCACAAUUGCUUGGCCCUGUGGCCUUUGGGCCUGUAGCGAGGCAGAGCACCAUGGUGGGAGCCCACAGAGGAGAAAAUCCGCUCAUCUCAUGGCUGCCUGGAAACAGAGAGAGAGAGAGGAAGGGCCCCGAUCUCACCCUCAAGGGCAAGGCAUAAAUUCCUCCCAGCAGACUCCAUUCUGUGACUUUCCCCACCACCCAACAGCGCCACCAGCUGGGGACCAAGCCUUCACCGUAGCAGCCUUUGGGAGCCACUUAAGAUCCAGUGAGGAUUCAGACUGGCUGUCAGAAUUGGCGUUUCCUGGGACAGGGUUCUGUGCUGUAGUGGCCUCAGGGAUGAAGCAGGCCACACAGGCUUUCUGUGGGCUACAUUUAUGAGGCACCUGCUGUAUACCCAUUUCUGUACCAACUGCAAGGAAACAAAGAGAGCAGCCGCACACUUGGUUCAUUCCUUGCCAACGCCAAGCCAACAGGCAGCCACACGAUCUUAAUGUCCUGGAAACCAGGGCAGUGUCCCUUACAGCGGCUUCCGGAGCCCCUGGGGAGGUCGCACAGACCCAACUGGGUCAUGAGCUCUAUCCAAAAAAUAGCUGUGUGACCUUAGGCGAGUUCCUUCUCCUGUAUCUAAAUUUUCUCAUCCGUGAAAAUGAGGAUUGGAAUGCAACCCUGAAGGGCCGUGGGGAGGAUUAGAGACGACCCCUGUGUCAUGGGGGCCACGUUGUGAAUAAGCAGGAAGCAGCCUCCUUCUCCUCUCCACGUCGCCUCCCCGCCCCUGGGUAAAAUCUUGAGCACUGUCCCUCAUCUCGCGAGUCACGCCCAGGUAAUAGAAUCAUCUGCCGUCAUUUGUGCUCGCAGAAUGGCUCCGUCUCCGUCCUUACGAUCUUGCUCUUAAGUCAUGGUUAAAAGUCUGGGACUUAGAGCUUCUUUUCAACCAGCCAAGUGUGAAACAAACAAACAAGACAAAACAAAACAAAAAGAGACAGAGAGAGAGAGAGACAGACAUUUUUGAAAUAAUUGGAGAAGUCCAAAUGCUAAAGGAGUGAUUUUGUGAAUUGUAUAAGGGUAAAAAUGCUAUGUAGCGAUUCACGCUAAAUCACCAAAGAUGAACUGAUGGGACGGGCUUGCGUAUGCCUUACAAAACUUCAUGGCUAGGAGAAAGGGCUGGGGUGUACACGAACCAGGAAUGGCUGUGUUUCCUGUAUUAUUCUAGGUAAUUAUUUCCCUACUUCUGCAAGUCUUCAAAAGCUUCCAUAAGAAAAUGCUUGAAAAAGAUGUUAAGUGUCUUCCCUAAGCAACCGCAUAUGAUCGACAGGGUGUACACCGUGUAAGACGAGUAGGGAUUGUUAUACCAGAGACGUUGUAGAUCUACCUAGUUAUUAUAAGUUGUUUUUUUGGCUAACGGCACUGGUUGCCCUAAUAAAAUCAGUAUAUUUUCUUAUGCUGGGAGGCAAAAUUCUAUGAUGACUGUCUAAGGAUCUCUUCCUCCUGGAAUCCACCACCUAUGAAAUCCUCCCCGGGACCGUGAUUUGAUUCUAAUGAAUAAGAUACAGUAAAUGGGAUGGUUUGUCUCUUCCAGGAAUAUAUUCUAAAAGUCUAGCUUCUAUCUGGCUUUAUCUCUGGCUCUUCUCUCUUCCCCAUUCCAAAGAAAUUGGAGUUCAUGCUGUGAGCUACUCAACGGAGAGGCCCACCCGGCAAGGACCUCGGGCCAGCAGCCCUCAAGGGAAUGAACUUUCCAACAACCACUUGAGUGGGCUUGGAAGAGGAUCCUGCCCCAGUCCCACCUUCAGCUGAGAUCACAACCCCACCAAUGCCUUGACUGCAAUCUGGUGAGGGACCCUGCACCAGAGGACCUAGUUAGUCACACCUCAUUCCUGACCCACAGAGACCAUGAGGUUAUAAAUGCCAUUGUUUUUAAAUUACUACAUUUGGGGAGGGAAAUUAAUUAUUCAGUAAU